rnacentral:piRNA from 1 species
UUUCGUUUCGUUAUUCUCUUC